AGAAGUUUCUCUGACCAAAGUCAAACAUUUCACUGUAGAGUUAAUGACAUUUCAGCAUGAAUGCUAAAUUAAAACUUGCUGUAACUGUUCCAGAUUUGAGAUGCUCUCCACAAUGAGACUUUAAGGAGUUAACUAUAGCACUGGUCACACACGCGAGUAGGGCUCUCUCUGCAGCCUUCCACCUGCAUUUUCUUAGUGGAGCAGGCACUGCACACUAGCCGGCCACAGCGGCGACAAUGAUGACGCCUGUUGAACUGAGGAGUGUCAUUGGGAAGAGAAGAGGCAAGAGGAGAAGGUGAGAUUGCAGAUACGAUGAGGGGAAAAGAGUCACAGAGAGAUCACAUUAUCAUCGUUCUCAUCAGCCCUGAGCUAAUAAGCCAGUCAGUACUGUGCUUCACAAAUGAUGGCUUUGACCAGAGUUUAGCAGAAUCCUGGACUCAGCUGACCAUUUGGUAUAAAAGGCAAGGCUACGCACCUUCUGCUGAAGAUGACUACAAUCAUCUUGAGGACACAAAGGACUCCUUAAGGACAUGAAGGGGCAGAAAUGAGACUGCAAAUGCUUUGCAUGGGAUUCAGCAUGAACAAAGUCAUCUGAAUUGACUAAACUUUUUGUAUUAUCCCAAAAGAAAAAUGGCAAAUGAUGGAGGCUUACUUGCAGAGCCUUUUCAUGAUCUCCUUUUUCUAGAAGGUGGAGAAGAUGCUUUUGAUGUAGGCUGAUUAAAUGCUCUCUUGGAAUGGGGUAGAGGCAGCCCCACUCUUCACACAGUCCAUACUCCUGGAAGGAAACACACACGGCUUGAAUCUCUUUAAAUCACCGGCCUUGUCACACAUCCAGCUUUUGCCAGAUUUUUCUCAGCAGUCUUGAGUCUGCUGGAGUCCCCAGGAAAGUCUGGUAAGUGUUGAUGGGAAGUUCAUUAUUGGAUUAAAGUGGGUUCAUAAACUCAAAGGACUACAGUGGCAAGGGAGUCAUGAAAACGAUCGAAGUAGGCUGAUGAUUAAUAUCACUUUCUUCUGUGAUCUAGUAUAAAAAAGAAAAAGAGGACAUCUAGUGACUGACAUUUGGUGUCAACCCUGGGGAGAUAGUAAGGAAAUGGGGAAUACUGAGAAGACUGUCCAAAGGAGACAGUGCCGAGUAACGUAUGGAAUUGCUGAAUUACUACAUUGUAUGCUGAAACUAAUAUAACACUAUAUAUUAAUUAUAUUUGAAUUAAAAUACAUAAACAAAAGAACAAAACAAAACACAAAGGAGACAGUGUCUACUCAACUCUGACUGUUACCAUAUAUGCAAGGCCCAGUGUUGCCAGACUUCAAAAAUUAAAAAAAAUUUUCUUCAAUCAAAAAA